GCAUAUCAAUAAGCGGAGGAAAAGAAACCAACAGGGAUUGCCCCAGUAACGGCGAGUGAAGCGGCAAGAGCUCAAAUUUGAAAGCUGGCUCCUUCGGGGUCCGCAUUGUAAUUUGUAGAGGAUGCUUCGGGAGCGGUCCCCAUCUAAGUGCCCUGGAACGGGACGUCAUAGAGGGUGAGAAUCCCGUAUGGGAUGGGGUGUCCGCGCCCGUGUGAAGCUCCUUUGACGAGUCGAGUUGUUUGGGAAUGCAGCUCUAAAUGGGUGGUAAAUUUCAUCUAAAGCUAAAUAUUGGCCGGAGACCGAUAGCGCACAAGUAGAGUGAUCGAAAGAUGAAAAGCACUUUGAAAAGAGAGUUAAAAAGCACGUGAAAUUGUUGAAAGGGAAGCGCUUGCGACCAGACUCGCGCGCGGGGUUCAGCCGGCAUUCGUGCCGGUGUACUUCCCCGCGGGCGGGCCAGCGUCGGUUUGGGCGGUCGGUCAAAGGCCCUCGGAAGGUAACGCCCCUAGGGGCGUCUUAUAGCCGAGGGUGCAAUGCGACCUGCCUAGACCGAGGAACGCGCUUCGGCUCGGACGCUGGCAUAAUGGUCGUAAGCGACCCGUCUUGAAACACGGACC
rnacentral:rRNA from 1 species